UAAAUAUAUUUGCAAUGUUAUUUUAAUCAGCUAAAUCUAAUAUUUUUGUCUAUGUAUAUCCAAUAGAACAUGUCAUGUACUUUAUAAGUAUAUUGUAUUAUUAAUAUUUAAAAUAUUUUUAUACGAUAUCACAGAAAUUAAUUAUAUUAGUACCUAUUAAUUUAUAAUGUCGUAAAACUAUCCAAAAUAACUCUUAUGACUAUAUGGUGAGUGAGUCAAUUAUUAAUAUUAUUAUGUAAUAUACCUACAUAAUACACUGUUAUUUCGAUUUUAAGUGUCAGUUUCGCUAUACCUGUCGAGGAGGGCAGGGGAUGAAAGUUGAAAGUCCGUUAAAAUGAUCGAUGCGUUGAAAAUAUCAUACUGUAGACUUCACUAUUUUAAAUUACAAUAAUAAACCCGUACCGUACAUAUUAUACAUAGGUAUACACUAUAAUGCCUAUAUAAAUGUUUGAUAUUCAUACCUAUCUUAAUUUUGUACCACGUAAGAAUAACUAAUAUAGGACUAUCAAUGAAAAGAUAAAUUCGAUCUUAACUAAUUUUAAUAUCAAAAACUUUGUACCAAUUAAUUAUUAUGUGUUAACUUUUCAUAAAUUACCUGAAAAACGACUUGGUCCAUAUUUCGUUGAUGUUGUGUUCUUCAAUUAACUGUCGACUGUAGGGUUAAAGAAAAGUUAAACUUAUAGCCUAUAGGGAAUAAAAAAUUUAAAAGCGGUCAGAUGUCGAAAAAUAAAAUGAUGCACAUAAAUCAAGGAUGCCAAUCGACAUUAUUGGUGAUGCACUGUUGCCCCAUAUUGACACAGUGGUCGUCGAAAAAGAAAAAUUAAAAUACUAAAAUGUUAUAAAUUAUGAACGGCUAAUACCAACUUAACGAAAAGUUCGAGGAAGAUAUAUUAGUACAAUAUAAUAUGAUUUUUAUAUUACACUUUUUUCAAUAGUAAGAGUACAGUGAGUACAUACAUUUUCAACUACCUACAAUAUGUUUUUUGGAAGAAAUAAGAAUCUAAGUUGGAAGACCUGACCAUUAGGUACCAGUGGUACCAUAAAAUAAAACUCUGAAUGUGGUAUACCAAGAGGUUUUGACCGCCGCGGUUAUCUACUACCGUGGUUUUGACUUAGUUAUUUCAAAUAUGCAUAAAUAAAGUUAAAUUACACAAAUUCAAAUUAUGAUUAUAGACUCAUCAAAAUCAUUUAUCCGUUUUUUUGAUGAAAUCGAUGGUGGAAGAAGGGAUAUUUUAUGGUCAAGAGAUUCUGAUAGACGUCCUGGAAGUUUUGCAUUUGUUCUGAAUUCAGUGUAUGUACGAUAUUCCUUCAUGUGUUUGAUCGACAUAUCGGGGGGCCGCUACAAAACUAUUAUAAAUUUAUGAC